AUUAAUUUAAUGGCUGCAGUAUUUUAACUGUACAAAGGUAGCAAAAUAAUUAGUUCCUUAAUUAGGGACUGGAAUGAAGGAUUGAACGAGAUAAAAAUUGUCUCUUUUUAAAUUUUAUAAUUUUAUUUUUAAGUUAAAAAGCUUAAAUAUUAUUAAAAGACGAGAAGACCCUAUAGAGUUUUAUAAUUAUAAUAUAAAUAAAUUUUAGUAAUAAAAUUUUAUUUAUACAAUGAUUAUUUGGUUGGGGUGAUUUUAAAAUUUAAAAAACUUUAAUAUAAUUUACAUUAAUAUAUGAAUAAUUGAUCCAUAAUUUAUGAUUAAAAGAUUAAAUUACCUUAGGGAUAACAGCGUAAUUUUUUUAAAGAGUUCUAAUCGAAAAAAAAGAUUGCGACCUCGAUGUUGGAUUAAAAUAAAUUUUUGGUGUAGAAGCUGAAAUAUUAGGUCUGUUCGACCUUUAAAAUUUUACAUGAUCUGAGUUUAAAUCGGCGUGAGCCAGGUUGGUUUCUAUCUUUAAUUAAAUAAAAUAUUUUAGUACGAAAGGACCAUAUAUUUAUAAUGUUUAUUUAUUUAUGAUUAAUAUUA
rnacentral:rRNA from 1 species